rnacentral:rRNA from 1 species
AGUCGAGGGGUAACGGGGAAGCUUGCUUCCGCCGACGACCGGCACACGGGUGCGUAACGCGUAUACAAUCUACCUUGUACUGGGGUAUAGCCUUUAGAAAUGAAGAUUAAUCCCCCAUAGUCUCUUAGAGUGGCAUCACUUCUAGAGUAAAGGUUACGGUAUAAGAUGAGUAUGCGUUCUAUUAGUUUGUUGGUGUGGUAACGGCACACCAAGACUACGAUAGAUAGGGGCCCUGAGAGGGGGAUCCCCCACACUGGUACUGAGACACGGACCAGACUCCUACGGGAGGCAGCAGUGAGGAAUAUUGGACAAUGGAGGCAACUCUGAUCCAGCCAUGCCGCGUGCAGGAAGACUGCCCUAUGGGUUGUAAACUGCUUUUAUACAGGAAGAAACACCUCUACGUGUAGAGGCUUGACGGUACUGUAAGAAUAAAGGAUCGGCUAACUCCGUGCCAGCAGCCGCGGUAAUACGGAGGAUCCAAGCGUUAUCCGGAAUCAUUGGGUUUAAAGGGUCC